rfam:Myotis brandtii contig325088, whole genome shotgun sequence.
GAGAUUCCCCUAUGGUGCAGGACUUGCUUCAGUGUGGCUUUGGUGCUCACUGAGUCUGCCCCUUGACUGUGUCACU